rnacentral:rRNA from 1 species
AGAGUUUGAUCCUGGCUCAGGACGAACGCUGGCGGCGUGCUUAACACAUGCAAGUCGAGCGAGAGCCCAUUGGUGGCAACACCGAUGGGUUUCUAGCGGCGAACGGGUGAGUAACACGUGGGCAACCUGCCCUUGGCUCUGGGAUAACCCCGGGAAACCGGGGCUAAUACCGGAUACGACCCUGGAGGGCAUCUUCUGGGGUGGAAAGAUUUAUCGGCCAAGGAUGGGCCCGCGGCCUAUCAGCUAGUUGGUGGGGUAACGGCCCACCAAGGCGACGACGGGUAGCCGGCCUGAGAGGGCGACCGGCCACACUGGGACUGAGACACGGCCCAGACUCCUACGGGAGGCAGCAGUGGGGAAUAUUGCGCAACGGGCGAAAGCCUGACGCAGCGACGCCGCGUGAGGGAUGAAGGCCUUCGGGUUGUAAACCUCUUUCAGCAGGGACGAAGCGCAAGUGACGGUACCUGCAGAAGAAGGACCGGCCAACUACGUGCCAGCAGCCGCGGUAAUACGUAGGGUCCGAGCGUUGUCCGGAAUUAUUGGGCGUAAAGAGCUCGUAGGCGGUCUGUCGCGUCGGCUGUGAAAACCCGGGGCUCAACCCCGGGCCUGCAGUCGAUACGGGCAGACUAGAGUUCGGUAGGGGAGACUGGAAUUCCUGGUGUAGCGGUGAAAUGCGCAGAUAUCAGGAGGAACACCGGUGGCGAAGGCGGGUCUCUGGGCCGAAACUGACGCUGAGGAGCGAAAGCGUGGGGAGCGAACAGGAUUAGAUACCCCGGUAGUCC